rnacentral:rRNA from 1 species
CCUACGGGUGACAGCAGUGAGGAAUAUUGGUCAAUGGGCGGAAGCCUGAACCAGCCAAGUAGCGUGCAGGAUGACGGCCCUACGGGUUGUAAACUGCUUUUAUCCGGGAAUAACGCGCCUUACGUGUAGGUCUUUGCAUGUACCGUAUGAAUAAGGACCGGCUAAUUCCGUGCCAGCAGCCGCGGUAAUACGGAAGGUCCGGGCGUUAUCCGGCUUUAUUGGGUUUAAAGGGGGCGUAGGCCGCAUGUCAAGCGUGCUGGGAAAUGGCCGGGCUCAACCCGGGCCGUGCAGGGCGAACUGGCGUGCUUGAGUCCGCGGAAAGCAGGCGGAAUGCGUCGGGUAGCGGUGAAAUGCUUAGAUAUGACGAAGAACUCCGAUUGCGAAGGCAGCAUGCUGCAGCGGAACUGACGCUGAUGCUCGAAAGCGCGGGUAUCGAACAGGAUUAGAUACCCUUGUAGUC